CCAAUUCUGCGGGUUUUAGAUGGGAAAAAUGGAGGAGAACAGAUACGAUGCAUCUUUUUGCUAACUAUAUCACACUUCGCUUUCCUCCAUAGCCACUCUUCUUCUUCUGUCAACUGGUUUUCUCUUUCACUUUGCUCUCAGGCGCUGUGAUUGUAAACAUCGCAGAUCUCAUUUGCAACCCUGAGCGCAAUCCUCCGCCAUGUCGCACGCUCCGCUGAAGGCCGUGACUCUCACGCACGUCCGGUACCGGAAGGGCGAUCAGCUGGGCCAUUUCCUGGCCUGGGUGUCGCUGGUCCCCGUCUUCAUCAGCUUCGGCGGCUUCGUCUCCCACUUCAUGUUCCGCCGCGAGCUCCAGGGCAUGUUCUUCGCCUUAGGCCUGCUUAUUUCCCAGGUCAUCAAUGAGGUCAUCAAGACCUCGGUCCAGCAGGCCCGCCCCGAGACGUGCGUGAUCCUAGAGAUGUGCGAUUCGCAUGGCUGGCCCUCCAGCCACGCGCAGUACAUGUUCUUCUUCGCCGUCUACUUCACGCUCCUCACCCACCGGAGACUCGGCUCCUUGUUCCGCUACCAAAUGUUGUACGCCGUUCUCCUGAUCUGGCCGUUGGCGCUUCUGACUCUCCAGUCGAGGGUCUAUUUAGGUUAUCACACGGUGGCGCAGGUAUUUGCCGGGGCUUCGCUCGGCUCUUUCCUCGGCGCCGCCUGGUUCUGGGUGGUUAAUUCUAAAAUCAGACGUUAUUUUACGGCUAUCGAGGAGAGCUCUUUUGGGAGGUUCUUUUACAUUAAGGACACUUCGGAUAUCCCCAAUGUAUUGAAAUUCGAAUACGACAAUGCUAGGGCUGCUAGGAAACACGUGUCUUACAAGCGUGUCGAUUGAUACGUGAUGAUCAGUUCGCUUCAUUAUUUGCUAAAGGUGGCCUCAAUUCACAAGAGAAGCGGGAGGGCGAUUGAACUGAUUAGGAUUGUAGUUCAGUUUCUAAUACACAGCUUAGCUAUUAUUCACCAGAAGCAACCAUUUCAACAGCAAUUCUCAAUUUCUCAUAUCAGUUUUGACUGUUUCUUUCCUGGAAUCUCUUCAUCUGGACUCUGAAGGUGCUUGGUACCGUUUAAAGGAUCCAUUGCUGGCACAAGAAGAGGAAAGAUAAAAUGUGUUUUGACACCUUUUUACACACUAUCUAUUGCUGGUUUGAUUCAUAGCUUUUUACAGUUUUUCCAUAGUAUGGCCAAACAUUUUAUCUUGUAAGCCUGUCUUAAAAUGAAACUUUUCAGAUGAACUAAUUCUUUAAUAAGUCUACAUAAUUCAAAUAUUUCUCUACACUUA